rnacentral:rRNA from 1 species
CGGGGGGCAGCAGUGGGGAAUAUUGGACAAUGGGCGCAAGCCUGAUCCAGCAAUACCGCGUGUGUGAAGAAGGCCUGAGGGUUGUAAAGCACUUUCAAUGGGGAGGAAUACCUGUCGGUUAAUACCCGGCAGAAUGACAUUACUCAUAGAAGAAGCACCGGCUAACUCCGUGCCAGCAGCCGCGGUAAUACGGAGGGUGCGAGCGUUAAUCGGAAUUACUGGGCGUAAAGCGUACGUAGGCGGUUCGUUAAGUCAGAUGUGAAAGCCCUGGGCUUAACCUGGGAACUGCAUUUGAAACUGGCGGACUCGAGUUGAGUAGAGGUAAGUGGAAUUUCAGGUGUAGCGGUGAAAUGCGUAGAUAUCUGAAGGAACACCAGUGGCGAAGGCGACUUACUGGACUCAAACUGACGCUGAGGUACGAAAGCGUGGGUAGCAAACAGGAUUAGAUACCCUUGU